rnacentral:lncRNA from 1 species
CGCCUAUCGUAACCUCGCUUUAUAGGGCUCGAUCCUCCUAAACUGCUAACCGAACACGACGAAAUGGGCUAAAAGAAACUCCUCUAAUACUAUCCAUUUGAAUUUUUUUAGAUUCUUCUAACAUCAUAUAUAUUGAUAAGUAAAUAUGGAUGUAAAUGAAUCUGUAAAAAAAAUAAAUGAAAUGACUUAAAUUAAAGGAAUUUUAACGAAAAGCUCUCGGUACUGUUUACUUUAACGAAAAACCACAUUUUUACACUAAAAAGUCAAUCCUGGUACUAUUCAUUUUACCCUUUAUUUUGUCCUUAUCGUUAAAACUCGAAGUUUUAUAUCAUUUUCAUUAGUUUUCCUUUAAAUUAAUCCUUGCGAUGUAAUGAAAAAAUCCUUUUGAUAAGCAUGCAUCACUUUUGGUUAUGUUGGAGUUUCUAGAAAUGAGGGGUUGGUUAAUUAAACUAGAAU